rnacentral:rRNA from 1 species
UGGGGAAUAUUGGACAAUGGGGGCAACCCUGAUCCAGCCAUGCCGCGUGUGUGAAGAAGGCCUUUUGGUUGUAAAGCACUUUAAGCAGGGAGGAGAGGCUAAUGGUUAAUACCCAUUAGAUUAGACGUUACCUGCAGAAUAAGCACCGGCUAACUCUGUGCCAGCAGCCGCGGUAAUACAGGGGGUGCGAGCGUUAAUCGGAAUUACUGGGCGUAAAGCGAGUGUAGGUGGCUCAUUAAGUCACAUGUGAAAUCCCCGGGCUUAACCUGGGAACUGCAUGUGAUACUGGUGGUGCUAGAAUAUGUGAGAGGGAAGUAGAAUUCCAGGUGUAGCGGUGAAAUGCGUAGAGAUCUGGAGGAAUACCGAUGGCGAAGGCAGCUUCCUGGCAUAAUAUUGACACUGAGAUUCGAAAGCGUGGGUAGCAAACAGGAUUAGAUACCCUGGUAGUCCACGCCGUAAAACGAUGUCUACUAGCCGUUGGGGUCCUUGAGACUUUAGUGGCGCAGUUAACGCGAUAAGUAGACCGCCUGGGGAGU